GAAUAUUGGACAAUGGGCGCAAGCCUGAUCCAGCAAUGCCGCGUGAGUGAAAAAGGCCUUAGGGUUGUAAAGCUCUUUCACCCGUGACGAUGAUGACGGUAGCGGGAGAAGAAGCCCCGGCUAAUUCCGUGCCAGCAGCCGCGGUAAUCCGGAAGGGGCUAGCGUUGUUCGGAUUUACUGGGCGUAAAGCGCGCGUAGGCGGCGGACCGAGUUAGGCGUGAAAGCCCUGGGCUCAACCCGGGAAUGGCGCUUAAGACUGGUUUGCUUGAGUCCGGGAGAGGGUGGUGGAACUCCCAGUGUAGAGGUGAAAUUCGUAGAUAUUGGGAAGAACACCGGUGGCGAAGGCGGCCACCUGGACCGGUACUGACGCUGAGGUGCGAAAGCGUGGGGAGCAAACAGG
rnacentral:rRNA from 1 species